AUUGCCUCAGUAACGGCGAGUGAAGCGGCAAGAGCUCAAAUUUGAAAGCUGGCCCCUCCGGGGUCCGCGUUGUAAUUUGCAGAGGAUGCUUCGGGCUCAGCCCCCGUCUAAGUGCCCUGGAACGGGCCGUCGGAGAGGGUGAGAAUCCCGUCUGGGACGGGGUGUCUGGGUCCGUGUGAAGCUCCUUCGACGAGUCGAGUUGUUUGGGAAUGCAGCUCUAAAUGGGUGGUAAAUUUCAUCUAAAGCUAAAUACUGGCCGGAGACCGAUAGCGCACAAGUAGAGUGAUCGAAAGAUGAAAAGCACUUUGAAAAGAGAGUUAAACAGCACGUGAAAUUGUUGAAAGGGAAGCGCUUGCGAUCAGACUCGCCUGCGGGGUUCAGCCGGCAUUCGUGCCGGUGUACUUCCCCGUGGGCGGGCCAGCGUCGGUUCGGGUGGCCGGUCAAAGGCCCCGGGAAUGUGUCGCCCUCCGGGGCGUCUUAUAGCCCGGGGUGCCAUGCGGCCUACCUGGACCGAGGAACGCGCUUCGGCUCGGACGCUGGCGUAAUGGUCGUAAGCGGCCCGUCUU
rnacentral:rRNA from 2 species